UGGGGGAUAUUGCACAAUGGGCGAAAGCCUGAUGCAGCGACGCCGCGUGGGGGAUGAAGGCCUUCGGGUUGUAAACUUCUUUUGCUCUGAACAAGGCAUGCUAAUGGGUGUGUUGAGUGUAGGGGUUGAUUAGCGCCGGCUAACUACGUGCCAGCAGCCGCGGUAAUACGUAGGGCGCGAGCGUUGUCCGGAAUUAUUGGGCGUAAAGGGCUUGUAGGUGGCUGGUUGCGUCUGUCGUGAAAGCUCAUGGCUUAACUGUGGGUUUGCGGUGGGGACGGGCUGGCUGGAGGGCAGGAGGGGGGGCGGGAAGUGCAGGUGUAGCGGGGGAAUGCGCAGAUAUCAGGAGGAAUACCGGUGGCGAAGGCGGGUCUCUGGGCUGUUACUGACACUGAGGAGCGAAAGCAUGGGGAGCGAACAGG
rnacentral:rRNA from 1 species